rnacentral:rRNA from 1 species
UGGUGGGUUGCCUUGUCAGGUUGAUUCCGGUAACGAACGAGACCUCAGCCUGCUAAAUAGUCAGCAUCGCACCUGCGGUGUAUCGACUUCUUAGAGGGACUAUUGGCGUUCAGCCAAUGGAAGUAUGAGGCGAUAACA